AACUAUGAAACCGAGAAACUACUUGUUAUUGUAAUAGAGCAUAAGAGCAACGUGUUUUAUUAAUCUAGAAUAUAGAUUCCAAGGAAAUUAACGCGACAAUCGUGUAAUAUAAUAUUCACACUUAGUACAUCUCCUCCGAAUAAGACAAGUAGAACAAGUUGGACUAUUGACUGGAAAUGGAGUUCCCUAUCUUUUCCAUUUUAAAAUUGUUAGUAUUCAAUUUAAUUGGAAUACAACUACUCUUGCUACGCCUUAACUUUUUUUUAUUUUUUUUCAUUCCUAUUCGGAUUAGAUUCAGUUUUUAUUCCUAUUUGAAAUUGGGGUUUACUUUAAAAGAAAACAUCACUUAUUAUCUAUAAAUAUGAUAAUUUUUGAAGAAUUGUUCGAUGUGGUAUAAGUCGUUAAAAGACUUAAGUACACAAGAGUGAUUUUUGAGAGAGUUUUCAUCAUGAGAGAAAAAAAGAAGAAAAAUAUUUAUUUUGCUAAAUUUUUAUUCCGAUCAGAUAUUUUCUGAUUCGUUAAUCGUUGGAUGGGCUGAAAUUUCGACUGAGUGUUCGUAACAUUUUGCUCUUUGAUUUGAAAGGUGGAGAUAGGAAUUAAACGUCCGUAGCAUAUGAUUCGAGCCUCGAACAACAGCUCCAAUUUUGUAGCUUUUCCUCUUUCUUCAAUUGAUUUGUUGUUCUAAUUCUUGUUGUUUUGUGUUUGACACUUGUUGUGUAGC
rnacentral:lncRNA from 1 species